rnacentral:rRNA from 1 species
GACGUAGGGCGCGAGCGUUGUCCGGAUUUAUUGGGCGUAAAGAGCUCGUAGGCGGCUCGUCGCGUCGACUGUGAAAACCCACGGCUUAACUGUGGGCUUGCAGUCGAUACGGGCAGGCUAGAGUUCGGUAGGGGAGACUGGAAUUCCUGGUGUAGCGGUGAAAUGCGCAGAUAUCAGGAGGAACACCGGUGGCGAAGGCGGGUCUCUGGGCCGAUGACUGACGCUGAGGAGCGAAAGCGUGGGGAGCGAACAGG